UACCAGCUGGGAGAGGAGGUGAGAGAAAGCAGCCCUGUGGAAGAGGACUUGGGAGCUGUGCUGAAUGAGAAGCUGGACAUGAGCACUUACACCCCAAAAGGCAAAUUGCAUCCUGGGCUGCACCAAAAGAAGCGUGGCCAGCAGAUCCAGAGAGUGGGCUCUGCUACUUUGCACUGAAGCACUCCUAGAAGUACAAGAGACAUGAGAUAAAAGUGUUUUCAAACUUCUACGGAAAGAGGCAGAAACUUCCACAAGCAAGCUGUGGAGAUCUAGGCCAACCGUUGUACCUCUUCUAUGUAAUCUUCAUAUGCCAUUCAUCCAUGAUCUCAACCUUCAGUUCUACAUCUGCAGCCCAGUUGUCCAGCUUGCAGUGAAGAAAGAGCAAAUGUGCAGCCUUGUGAACCCUGUGAUGGAGCAAUAUAUAAGAUACAUCAGCACCACAUCAUCAAUGAAGGCUGCUGAGAAUGCACAGGGCUGGUACUACCUGGUUUGGACUAUACACACUACGAUAUUUAGUUACUGCUGUGUGGACUCCUGCAAUACUUCAUUUGAGACUUCUUUAGCACACUGUACCUCAAACUGCAUCAGGCAGUUACUUCAAAGUUUUCUUUUGUUCACUGAACUAGAUUUGUUUGCUUGUUUGUUCUGCAGCCAAAUGCAAAACCUUCUCCAGAUGAGGAGAGUUUAACUGAGGAUCAUUCUUCUCAACCUUCCUCUGAGACUCUGAAAUUGUGCACUCCUCCACGUGGGGGUUGUUAUAUACCAGCCUUGCUUGACCUCUGCCAAAAUUCAUUAUUGAGUUACUUAAUUGCUGCACGCUGUCAGUCUCAAAAGGCAAAGGAUUAUGCUGUGUAGUGCAUGAGUUUUCUUGGUUGCAGCAUCUACCUUGAUAUGCCCCAAAGCUUCCUUGCAGAAUACCUGUGGUAGCUACCUUUCUGGGUUACCUGCUACUGAGCUGGGCAGAUCACUGUUGUAUAGACCCUGGGGGAGAAUGCAGCAAAGCCAGUUUUACUUGUCUUCUGGAUGAAGCUGGUGGAAUAUAGCUGAAUUUUGCUCUGGUUUGGAAUGUCUCUGAAUUCUUACCUGUACAAGCACAGCAGGACUGACACUGUGUGUACUUGGGAACUGAAUCUGGAUUCAACAUUUUACACAUAACUCUAGAUCUUUUCCCUUGGUAUCAGUUUGUGGGACCACUGUUGCCAUCUUGUGCAGUUCUCCUUGCAUUGGAUCUUCGUGUGGCUGGUUGUUAGUGAGAUGAUGGUUUGUGGAGAUGUCCCUGGGCAGCCCAGAAUUUCUGAGUGGGUGGCUUCAGAAUAGCCAGAAGAAACCUGUGUGUCCUGCUGGCACAUUUCCAUUUAUGUGAACAUAACCAUUCAAGCACACAAGGACUUUUCAGCACAGUUUCCCUGAGUCAGGCAUAUUGCAGUGGAAUAAGCCUUGCUCUCACAUCAUCUUCUCUAGCCAAGAGCAAGCAUGGGAAUAGCGCAGUCACUGUUACUAUUUCCCUUUGGUCUCUCAAACCAUGCGACCAGAUACUUGGCUGCAGGUGGACUGACUGGAAAGUAUUGUUUGGCACAAGCCCAGGCUGAAAUGGCAGUUCUUGCUGUCCUGCAAAGCUUACUAGAAUGAAAAUUUAGAUGUAUGCAAAGCAUUGGAUGCUGUAGUCACAAUGAAAGAAAUCUGUGUGAGAAUGCAAGUAAAGGAAAGGCACUUAUCAAAAGAAGCUCAAUAUGAAAGGAACUGUAAUUUCAGUUGCCAUUGAUACUCAUUACUAAACUAGUGAUAAAUUCAUCUGUUCAGCAAAUAAAUGUCAAUGUACUUUUGUAAUUUAAA